rnacentral:rRNA from 1 species
AGGACGAACGCUGGCGGCGUGCCUAAUACAUGCAAGUCGAGCGGACAGAUGGGAGCUUGCUCCCUGAUGUUAGCGGCGGACGGGUGAGUAACACGUGGGUAACCUGCCUGUAAGACUGGGAUAACUCCGGGAAACCGGGGCUAAUACCGGAUAGUUGUUUGAACCGCAUGGUUCAAACAUAAAAGGUGGCUUCGGCUACCACUUACAGAUGGACCCGCGGCGCAUUAGCUAGUUGGUGAGGUAACGGCUCACCAAGGCAACGAUGUAGCCGACCUGAGAGGGUGAUCGGCCACACUGGGACUGAGACACGGCCCAGACUCCUACGGGAGGCAGCAGUAGGGAAUCUUCCGCAAUGGACGAAAGUCUGACGGAGCAACGCCGCGUGAGUGAUGAAGGUUUUCGGAUCGUAAAGCUCUGUUGUUAGGGAAGAACAAGUACCGUUCGAAUAGGGCGGUACCUUGACGGUACCUAACCAGAAAGCCACGGCUAACUACGUGCCAGCAGCCGCGGUAAUACGUAGGUGGCGAGCGUUGUCCGGAAUUAUUAGGCGUAAAGGGCUCGCAGGCGGUUUCUUAAGUCUGAUGUGAAAGCCCCCGGCUCAACCGGGGAGGGUCAUUGGAAACUGGGGAACUU